rnacentral:rRNA from 1 species
AACGAACGCUGGCGGCAUGCCUAACACAUGCAAGUCGAACGAGACCUUCGGGUCUAGUGGCGCACGGGUGCGUAACGCGUGGGAACCUUCCCUUAUGUUCGGCAUAACUCCCCGAAAGGGGUGCUAAUACCGGAUAAUGUCUUCGGACCAAAGAUUUAUCGCCUUUGGUUGGGCCCGCGUUGGAUUAGCUAGUUGGUAGGGUAAAAGCCUACUAAGGCGACGAUCCAUAGCUGGUCUGAGAGGAUGAUCAGCCACACUGGGACUGAGACACGGCCCAGACUCCUACGGGAGGCAGCAGUGGGGAAUAUUGGACAAUGGGCGAAAGCCUGAUCCAGCAAUGCCGCGUGAGUGAUGAAGGCAUUAGGGUUGUAAAGCUCUUUUACCCGGGAUGAUAAUGACAGUACCGGGAGAAUAAGCGCCGGCUAACUCCGUG